rnacentral:rRNA from 1 species
AGCAGUCGCCGCGGUAAUACGGAGGGUGCAAGCGUUAUCCGGAUUUAUUGGGUUUAAAGGGUCCGUAGGCGGAUCUGUAAGUCAGUGGUGAAAUCUCACAGCUUAACUGUGAAACUGCCAUUGAUACUGCAGGUCUUGAGUAAAUUUGAAGUGGCUGGAAUAAGUAGUGUAGCGGUGAAAUGCAUAGAUAUUACUUAGAACACCAAUUGCGAAGGCAGGUCACUAAGAUUUAACUGACGCUGAUGGACGAAAGCGUGGGUAGCGAACAGGAUUAGAUACCCCCGUAGUCCCUGUCUCUUAUAC